rnacentral:rRNA from 1 species
GACGAACGCUGGCGGCGUGCUUAACACAUGCAAGUCGAACGAUGAAGCCGGAGCUUGCUCCGGUGGAUUAGUGGCGAACAGGAGAGUAGCACGUGAGUAACCUGCCCUUGACUCUGGGAUAACUGCGGGAAACUGUAGCUAAUACCGGAUACGACCCUCGGCGGCAUCGCCAGGGGGUGGAAAGAAUUUCGGUCAAGGAUGGACUCGCGGCCUAUCAGCUAGGUGGUGAGGUAACGGCUCACCAAGGCGACGACGGGUAGCCGGCCUGAGAGGGUGACCGGCCACACUGGGACUGAGACACGGCCCAGACUCCUACGGGAGGCAGCAGUGGGGAAUAUUGCACAAUGGGCGCAAGCCUGAUGCAGCAACGCCGCGUGAGGGAUGACGGCCUUCGGGUUGUAAACCUCUUUUAGUAGGGAAGAAGCGAAAGUGACGGUACCUGCAGAAAAAGCACCGGCUAACUACGUGCCAGCCGCCGCGGUAA